rnacentral:rRNA from 1 species
CACGUAGGGACCAAGCGUUGUCCGGAUUUAUUGGGCGUAAAGCGCUCGUAGGCGGUUCGGUAAGUCGGGUGUGAAACCUCCAGGCUCAACCUGGUGACGCCACCCGAUACUGCCGUGACUUGAGUUCGGUAGGGGAGCGGGGAAUUCCUGGUGUAGCGGUGAAAUGCGCAGAUAUCAGGAGGAACACCGAUGGCGAAGGCAGCUCUCUGGUACGUGACUGACACUGAGACGCGAAAGCGUGGGGAGCGAACAGG